GGUGAUUAGCCGUUCAAAUUGCUUCUUCUCAAAAAACAAAAAAGCAAUUCAAAUUCCUUGGAUUCAAGUCUAAAAAACCCAAACUGCAACAACCCAUGAGUUACCUAAUUGACCAUGCUUUUGCACUAUUAUAAGACAUUGGGUUUUUGGUAGUUACUUAGAUUUUGAAAAUAAGUUAUAUAAAUAUCACUUAUCUAUUAUUUAAUUAU
rnacentral:lncRNA from 1 species